UGGUUCCCCUGCUUGUAUUGCUGGAAUUAUUCCUAACGAUGUAAUAGUUCAAUGUGAAGGAAAAAAAGUCAAGAGUGUUUUGGAGUUAUUCAAAAGAAUUUAUCAUAAGAUUGGACAAAAAGUAGAGCUUGAUGUGAUAAGACCAUAUGAUGGUGCUUAUUUGAGUGUUUCUAUUCUGGUCGAUGUGGCUCCGCGAGUGAACCGGUGGCCGGUUCCGAUGGCUCGUCGAAUACAAAAAAGAAGACGACAGGGAUAAAUAAAGAUAUCAUUAUGUGGAGAAAAUUAUUUUUUUGGUUUUAUUUUGUGAACGUUUUUAUCUUUUAGUAUAAUGUUUUUUUAUUUAAGAAUACUUUG